UACGAAGGGGGCUAGCGUUGCUCGGAAUCACUGGGCGUAAAGCGCACGUAGGCGGAUUUUUAAGUCGGGGGUGAAAUCCUGGAGCUCAACUCCAGAACUGCCUUCGAUACUGGGAAUCUUGAGUCCGGAAGAGGUGAGUGGAACUGCGAGUGUAGAGGUGAAAUUCGUAGAUAUUCGCAAGAACACCAGUGGCGAAGGCGGACUCACUGGUCCGGUACUGACGCUGAGGUGCGAAAGCGUGGGGAGCAACAGGAUUAA
rnacentral:rRNA from 1 species